rnacentral:lncRNA from 1 species
CCUACCGCCGUUUCCCCUCUUUCUUCUUCCUCGACCUCUCACUCAGCUCCCGUGGAACGGCUAACUCACCUCCACACUCUCCUCUAUCACAUACACACAAGAGAUUAAAAGAAGAAGAAGAAGAAGAAGCUUUUUGAUUUCGGUCGUGCUUCAUUUGAAGAAUUUAUGGGAUUCUCAGUUGUUUCUGGAUUAAAGUGGAGUCCGACACUGCUGUUUGCUAUCAAAAUCGUAGCUGGACUUCCUUCAUCUUCAUUUCUGCUUGUUAUUGUUUUUUUCAAGCUCCAUUUGGUCGAGUGUUUUAGGUACACAUUCUCGAAUCUGCACUAUUUCUUCAUAAAGAUGGAUGAAACAUGGAGUGAAUUGUGUUUCUAAUGUUCAAUCUCCAUUGCUGUGUUUGUUUUCUUACUCAAUUGCGCAUUAGACUCGAAUCUGAUGAUAUUUGACCUGUUUAAUGACCCGUGACUUAAAAAUGCACCCCCAAUGCUGUUCAACUGAUAUUUGUAAUAGUAAACAUGUUAGUAAUAUGAAAAUCGUAUUCCUAAUGUGACUUCUUGUUUUGCUAGUUUGAUGAAUGCUUUUGAUCAAUAUGUGGCUUUUCUGUGUCAGCAUAUCUUAGACCUCAUGUAUUAUCUUAAUUUGUAUUCCUACUUGGUCCCUGCUUUCAUUUGUGUAAGUGAAUAUAUAUAUAUAUAUAUAUAUGUGUAUAUGUAUAUAGUAUAGUAUAGAUUCUUUGUGUGGUUAUAAGAUUUCGUUAGCUUCGUGCUUAAAUUUGAAAACAAAGCUGGUUGAGAGUUGCCAUGAAUUUGAUUAUGUUGAUUGGAGUUGCUUUAUCUAAUAAUAGGAGUUGCUUCGUGUGGUCCGUUAGGUUGAGCCCAUUGUUAACACUAUGCUAUGAUUUCAGCAUCCUGAAAUUACAUUUGGUAUGAUAUAAUCCCACAGCAAUAGCAAUGUGCCAGCUUCUGAACAUGUUUAAAGCACUGCAGCUUUGUACCCAUCUAAAUACUGAAAAUAUCCCCUUUUUACUAAUCAUCAAAUGCAAAUCCAAUUAGUAGCACUUAAGCUGAACAAAUAAUGGAUUAGUAAAGUGCUCCUGUAGAUUUUUCUCUUUGUUAGCUUAAUUUUAUGGAGUUCUUUAAUAUAGUAGUAUAUAUGCUUGCAAGAAAUGUGAAGAAUUGCUUAAUAAUCCAUGGAAUGUGAUGCCAACUUCUUAUUCUUAGUUGUUGCCUUGUAGUAAAUCUUGGAAACCAAUUCAUUUAACACCUGUAUUUAUUUAUUCUCUUGGUUAUCAUAACCUUUGGUUCAAUUUCCUAUAUCUCAAUGGUAUUCUUUGAUGUCGACAGGUUUAGUCGCUUCUGGCGAUCAACAACUGAUAUGCAAUUGACCGCUCAUUCUGGCUUGCUGUGCAUCUCUUCUUCUACUUGAUUUUUCACAAAGAUGAUUAUACGCGAUCAUAAAUAAUGGUAUAUUAAGUUCUCUUCUGCUCUUGCUUCCCUGCUUUAUGCGGAUUUUCUUGAUGAGGUUCCUGUUUUUGCAUAUUAAAAUGUAGAUGUCUUGCUUUUGUUAAUUCCUAUGAACAAAGGGAUUAUUUCUCUUUUUGCACGUUUAGUGAUUAUUUUUCCUAUAUGAUUAGAUUGAUUAGAGAAUUAUAGCUGAGAAUAUGGAUGUAAAAUUGACCAAUCCAAGAUGACUUAUAUGUGAUAAAAUAUUAAUAGUCUGAUUUCACUCUCUCUAAGCUACUUACUUUUUUUCGUUAGAUGUGACUAUAUGGGCUUGGAUAAUGGGUACUUACUGCUAUUCUGCUUAUGUACUGAAAUUUUAGUUUUCAAUAGAGUGAAGGCUUUCUCCACAAGAUGUAAUACCUUGAAUGACACCUUGCACAUGAUAGUUAUGCAAAAUGAAAUUGAGUUUCAGUUUGUCUUCAUGUGUGUUUUUCUUCAAGGUUACAAAUUACGUCACUUAAUCCAGUGGCUCAGUCUGUAAUGAGAAAUUGAGCAUUACUAGGAAGUGGCACUCCUCCUUGUAUUUAGGUUAACAACAGCUACACAAAAAGUUUAUUAAAUUUUACUAGGGAGAAAGAAGAAAAUGACAAGUAAAUAAGUCAGAAUUUGAAAUAUACUGCUAGCUAAAGGAGAAGGGAGAGCACUGAUAUUGAAGAAGAUUUCAUAUACUGGGAUUCUCAUAAGCUUCUAGAAGGCAUACAAACUCACAGCUUUUUUAGUACUCUGUGAAAACCGAGUUGAGUUGCAUAAUAUGUUUACACUCGGAUGAUGUUGUACUAUAUUUGUGAGUAUAGAAAUCAUAGGCUGCUUAUACUUCACAUUUUUUAUACUCCUGCAAUUCGUCCUUACUUCCUGAACGCAAAAUACAAUUAACAUUAGCCUAUCAAGCAUUAUCGAUGUAUGUUUGAUCUUGGAUAUUGUUCUUCAGCUGAGGUAUAAUGCUACUUUAGAUUGUUGCUUUGGUACAUGAACACCUGCCAGCACUUGCACUUGCAUUUGCAUGGUAGAAGUAGGUAUUAACGUCUAUUACUUUCUUUAAAUCGUACAGUGAUUAUUAGAAAGUAUUUUCCAUAUUGGAAAGGCAUUAAGUAGUAUCUACAAUUUGAGUUCUUUAAUAUUCUUGUGACAAGAUUUUUUAUUAUCAUUGUUAUAUAUGUUGUACAAAGAUCCAACUAACUAAUCCCCUACUCCACCAGUUGAUUUUGCAGGUUGCAUCCUCAUUUUUUGUUUUGCUUUUCGGGCUGGUAAGCUCACGCUCAUGAUUGGAUUGAUUGUUGUCUGUGUGUCUCCUGAAGGAUUUUCAAUAGCAAAUAACUUGUCUCAAGUUGAAGAUAUCUGGGAUGGAGUAAGAUGAAUUGGAAUCAAUUAUUCAACUAUGAAGGUUUAUUUAGCUUUAGCAUGAGUAUAUGUAUAACACAUUUUGGUUGUAUUACUGGAAUUAGGUGAUAUUCGAGUUGUUUAUAUACAUGAGUAUAGUUCAUGUACAGAAGUUUUAUGACAUUUAAGUAAGCCAUAAUCUUUUUCUUAUUUUCCAAGAUUAGAACUGUGCAAUGCCCUUGCUAGUUUCUUAAUAAGAGAAUGUUAUAUCGUCGUGGAAGGAUGUGCUUAUUCGAUGAAGUACACGAGUAAUUUUGUCAGGCCCACUUCGUGAUAUAUUGCUUCUAAUUGGUAGUAGUUCAUAAUGAGGACUGUUUUGGUUAUUUUAAGCUCUAAUUGAUAGUAUUUUGUUAUUGAAAAUCGAUGGAAAAAUUAUUUUUUUUUGCCC